UAGGCGGUAAAUUGUUGAGAUAAAUUGGCUGCAGUCUAAAUUCAAAGAAGCGCACGUUGCGAUAGCAUGAGAGCACGGCAAUCGUAACGAUUGAAAUUCUCCACAAUCACACCAAUUCUCAGCAAGUUUUACUGUAUACAACCUUACUUGCCGACCACCAGAUCUAGAUACAACUUCAACUUCAGAGACUCCAGUCUCUCGAGAAAAAUUACGAA
rnacentral:lncRNA from 1 species